rnacentral:lncRNA from 10 species
AAGGAAUAAAUGAAUUAAUCUGGAAGUUAACAUCUCCAUAGAAAUAACCAGCAUGAAGACAUUAAAAUUCCUAUAGGUUUACCAUUCCCUAUAUUUAAAAAUGGUUGGAGGCUGGUCCCAGUGCCUUGGUAUUUACAACUCAUUGAUCACUACCAGUUACAGACUUUUUUUCUUCCUUCUUCACCCCCAUUGCUUGACUAGCCUUAAAAAAUAAUAAUUAUUAAAAAAAAAGCAUGGCUGCAGAAGUCUUUUGGUUCUUUGGUUGCCAAAAUAAAUAAAAGUGUUUGGAAUGAAACAUAAAUUUGUAUUGUGAUAUAUUUGUAGAUUUGAGUACUUAUAUGGUUUUUCCAGAAUCUUUUGUCCAGUCUCUUGAUCAUGCUGCAUUUUAAGCACACCUGCCUCACUGGAGGGAAAGGAAAAGAACUUUAAUCUUCAAUUUGAAGAAAAAUUGAGAAUUUUUUGAGUCCAGCAUCUUAAAGAUGGAGAACAGAGAACAGGCAGGAAGUGUGAUCUCUCGAAAGCCACUUUUCUUCUGGGCUUAGUGAGCACUCACUAGAACCCUGUUAGAGAAGUGUGUACUUCAUAGAGAGGAGCUGGGAGUAAAAGGUGGAAUGAUUCUGAUUCCUAUUAAACACCUAUCAUGCUCCAGGCACUGCCCAACAGAAUCCAUCCAGCUCAUCUCUCCUAAUCUUGAAGCUUGGAAAUAAGGCUAAACAGCCAAUGAGUUGCGAAGUGAGCAUUUGAAUCCAAGUGCCCUAACUCCAAAGCUCUACUCAAGACAUCACCCGACCCACCCUUGCUGAGGCCCCAGACUAUCCUAAGUCCAACCCUGCAAUCAUAACAUCAACCUCACAUCGUGAUGCUAAGUGUGUGGGGAGGGAGGUGGUGGCUGUUUGCAAGAGUGGCCACAGUACCACUGUGUAAUGAGUGGGGUCAUUCCCCUCCACAUCCCUGUGUGCUAGGAUGCAUUUACCUUUUUAUCAGAAAUUGCAGUGGUGGAAAACAUAUAAUUUGGGAAAUAAGAUUAUGAGGAUCUAAGGCCCAGCUCUGCUACUUACACAACUCUGAAGUUCUAAAUACUCAUUUAAAAAAAAAAAAUCUGUUAUAUGGGAAUAAAACAUCUACUUCAACAACUUUCAAGGAAUAAGUGAGAGUUAACGUGAGAAAGCCUGAGGAAAACAGGCUGAGGCACCAGCACUACUUUCCACCCCUCUGUCCUCAGGCUCAAGUUGAGGCUUACAUACCAGGAAGAGAGAUUCUCAGGGGCAGUCCAUCCACGGUGGCGCUUCAUUACUCCCCAGUGACACCCAACUCACCUUUUAAGGGUAGGACAUCAGCACCUCAAAAGAGAUGUCCUUGCCAUCUGAGAAUAUAGCAACAAUGGGCAGAUGGCAAGCCCUUUGGAAGUGGUCUUUUGGAAGCUCAAAAGACUAUGCAGUCCUAUAGGCAAAGAGACAGGGUCAUGCUCUAUCGCCUACGCUGGAGUACAGUGGCCGCAAUCAUAGCUUACUGCAGCUUCAACCUCAUGGGCUCUAGCCGUCUUCCUUCCUCAGCCUCCCAAGUAGUGGGGAUUACAGGUGCACUCACCACACCCAGCUCACACUUUUAAAAUAGAACAUUUAGAUAGAUGAUUAUUUACCAUUUUAGGAAACUUUUGUUCAGGAAUGAAUUUCAUCCUUGCUUGAUUAUCCUUGUAGAAGGAAACAUAGCACGAUUUUUGCUUCAUAAGCAUUUUAUUUUCAGCACGCCACAG